rnacentral:rRNA from 1 species
UACGAAGGGGGCUAGCGUUGCUCGGAAUCACUGGGCGUAAAGCGCACGUAGGCGGCUUUUUAAGUCAGGGGUGAAAUCCUGGAGCUCAACUCCAGAACUGCCUUUGAUACUGGCGAGCUUGAGUUCGGGAGAGGUGAGUGGAACUGCGAGUGUAGAGGUGAAAUUCGUAGAUAUUCGCAAGAACACCAGUGGCGAAGGCGGCUCACUGGCCCGGUACUGACGCUGAGGCGCGAAAGCGUGGGAGCAACAG